GCGAUAACAAACUGAGCGGCAGAGGCGGGCGUAGCCGCGAGCGAAAGCUUCUCUGUGUACAAAUCGACUUCCAUCGAUGCCACUCGUCGGUAGCCCUCGCCACGGCCCGCCGCUGAAGCUCGCCGGCCGCGCCCAGCGCCGGCCUCCGCCCCGCACCAUUGCGCCCAAAUGCGAUAUCUCCUCCCCUCCUGCGCGCCUAACCAGGAGAGCCGUUUCCGCCGCCUCGCUGCUCCUCACCGCCCUCCCUUUCCCCGCCUCGUCACCGCAACUCCCCGUGGCCUCCGCGUCGGAAACGGAGGAAGAAGUCGGGGGAGGAGAAGGAGGCGCACCAGCGCUGGAGUUGGAGCGGUACACGGACCAGGACCAGGGGUUCACCCUCCUCAAGCCCACCUCAUGGCCCAAGGUGGAAAAGGCGGGCGCGACGGCGCUGUUUCAGCAAGAGGGGAAGGGGAGUAACAAUAUUGGGGUUGUCGUCAACCCUGUUCGCCUCUCCUCGCUGAAGGAUUUCGGUACACCGCAGUUUGUCGCAGACAGGCUUCUACAGGCAGAGAAGAAAAAGGGAACUUUAUGUUUUCGCAGGUUGUGUCCACAGAUCGUGUUUGGUUGGGUGCAUAUCCUUGCCCUCAGUUUCAGCAUCCAGGGGAACUGCAUGUGAUUUCAUUAGAAGAAGAAGAAUUACAUAUGACCAAGACAAGCCAUCCGAAGCGACCCAAAAUACACGGCAACAGCGCCAACCAGCAACAUAACCAAGUAACACCACAGCAACAGCUAAACCAAAAGCUAACCUCGGCCUUCAGCUGGUUGAUAACCUGAAGGAUCGGAGUGUGCUUUUUUUCCAGUCUUGCAGAACUUCAGUUAUCUGCAUGAUGUGUUUUACAGGAGGUAGCAUAGUUCUACUGGUGUCUAGUGCCAGGAAUGGGUUUCCUUCUUUGGUGUGCUCUCAAACUGUUUUUAGUCCUGUCAGGACUGGGUUUCCUUCUUUGGUGUGCUCUCAAACUGUUUUUAGUCCUGCAAGGAUACCAUAAGUAAAGUACUAACAUAGUGAUUUUACUUCAGUUAGGAACAUUUUUGUGUUUGAAUCAACAUUAUUUCAAGGGGUACAGAGAACUGAACUACCAACCUGAAUCCAAUAUCACAUGCCUAUAAGGUUUCACGUUCUAACAAACGCCCGUCAGAAUGGGAACUGCUACAGUUGCCAUGUGUGUUAAAUAAAGACUUCAUAAUAGUGGACUAAUACUGAAGCCCCAUAUUAUUCUAACUUGCACAAGUUGGAAGAUUGCAGAAGUCAAUGCAGAAUCAGAUGAUCAAGUUUAAACCGGUAAGAAGAUGAUGCAAAUCAAUAAUUGUGUGUCUGAUUGUUUACCGAUCUACUGUUGCUUAUGCUUUUUCGCUGACAUCCACGGAUGGGACAUAAAAGUUGCAUCCGUAUGCUCCUUUCCUUAAAUGCAGGAAAGUUCUGUGUAUACAGAAGUAAUUUCUGGAAAAGGGAGACCUGGUAGCAGUGGCACUAUUGGGUUGAUGGCAAUGUUCUUCUGGCUUCCGUUUGUUGCUUGUAAAAAUAUUUGUGUACGCAGCAUGCAUGACCAGAUAGUCCUCACGUGAAGUGAUCGGACAGUCAGACUUAAAUGACCAUUGGAAUAAGUCUUCUGUCAUCUGAUUGUUCAUUUCUGAUCUCUUAGACAUGAGAGGGUGUGAAUGGAUUUGGAGACUUCCAGGCUGCAGAAUGUGAACAUGCCGGCAUAUUACCAUACUCCAGCAUUUCGUGAAGCGAGGGCGACAACUGAUCCUCUCUACAAACGGCUAUUUAUUAUAAUUUGCCUAUUGCACGCUUCUGUUUGUUUGACUCGUUUACACCUGCGUAUAUGCAAUUAAUGUCCAGACUUCACUCUUCAGGUAAUUUUCAUUUUAAAUCGCUUAAAUUGUCAUAUGUGCACACAGUUAAACCUAUUUACAUCAUUAGUUAGGAAUAUCUGGCGGAUCAGUGGUGUAUAUAGACUAUAAAUGAUUCGAUCA